UACGGGGGGAGCAAGCGUUGUUCGGAUUUACUGGGCGUAAAGGGCGCGUAGGCGGCCAGCACAAGUCAGUUGUGAAAUCUCCGAGCUUAACUCGGAACGGUCAACUGAUACUGUGCGGCUAGAGUGCAGAAGGGGCAACUGGAAUUCUUGGUGUAGCGGUGAAAUGCGUAGAUAUCAAGAGGAACACCUGCGGCGAAGGCGGGUUGCUGGGCUGACACUGACGCUGAGGCGCGAAAGCCAGGGGAGCGAACGGG
rnacentral:rRNA from 1 species